GUGUCCACUUCUAUCAUUUGACGUAUUUUGUUCAUUGUGUGGGCCUGAAUUAUGAAGCGGGCCACUGAAUUGGCUAGAUUCUUCUGCUGAUUCCCUGUGUGUAUGCAACUCGCCGUUGCUAGAAGAAUCUGCUGAGCAAUAACCUAACAUAGAGAGCUCACAUCUGUUUUGUAAAGAUGUUGGCAUUCUUUUAUUUAUCUUGUAAAGUAUCCCCUGUACAUGAUCCGAUCCAAUUGAAGAGAAUACAGCUUCAUCGAUUGCAAAAGCAACAACAAUUUCGAUAG
rnacentral:lncRNA from 1 species